GGUUAAGGCUCCCGGGAGAUGACCGGGUUGAUAGGCCAGAUAUGGAAGACCCGUGAGGGUUGGAGUUGACUGGUACUAAUAAGCCGAGGGCUUGACCAU
rfam:Streptomyces sp. WMMB 714 genome assembly, contig: H181DRAFT_scaffold00023.23